rnacentral:tRNA from 1 species
UCCGCCUUAGCUCAGCGGUAGUAGCGCUUCACUAGUAAUGAAGAGGUCAGUCGUUCAAAUCGGCUAGGCGGAA